rnacentral:rRNA from 1 species
AUUAGGUAGUUGGUUAGGUAAUGGCUUACCAAGCCGUUGAUCGGUACGGGUUGUGAGAGCAAGAGCCCGGAGAUGGAACCUGAGACAAGGUUCCAGGCCCUACGGGGUGCAGCAGGCGCGAAACCUCCGCAAUGUGAGAAAUCGCGACGGGGGGAUCCCAAGUGCCAUUCUUAACGGGAUGGCUUUUCAUUAGUGUAAAAAGCUUUUGGAAUAAGAGCUGGGCAAGACCGGUGCCAGCCGCCGCGGUAACACCGGCAGCUCUAGUGGUAGCAAUUUUUAUUGGGCCUAAAGCGUCCGUAGCCGGUUUAAUAAGUCUCUGGUGAAAUCCUGCAGCUUAACUGUGGGAAUUGCUGGAGAUACUAUUAGACUUGAGACCGGGAGAGGUUAGAGGUACUCCCAGGGUAGAGGUGAAAUUCUGUGAUCCUGGGAGGACCGCCUGUUGCGAAGGCGUCUAACUGGAACGGUUCUGACGGUGAGGGACGAAAGUUAGGGGCGCGAACCGGAUUAGAUACCCGGGUAGUCCUAACUGUAAACGAUGCGGACUUGGUGUUGGGGUGGCUUUGAGCUGUCCCAGUGCCGAAGGGAAGCUGUUAAGUCCGCCGCCUGGGAAGUACGGUCGCAAGACUGAAACUUAA